rnacentral:rRNA from 1 species
UACGAAGGGUGCAAGCGUUAAUCGGAAUUACUGGGCGUAAAGCGUGCGUAGGCGGUUUGUUAAGUCUGCUGUGAAAUCCCCGGGCUCAACCGUGGAAUGGCAGUGGAUACUGGCAAGCUAGAGUGUGUCAGAGGAUGGUGGAAUUCCCGGUGUAGCGGUGAAAUGCGUAGAGAUCGGGAGGAACAUCAGUGGCGAAGGCGGCCAUCUGGGACAACACUGACGCUGAGGCACGAAAGCGUGGGGAGCAAACAGGG